ACUGCUGUGGCAACACUCGCACUCACUGCCACCAUGACUCAGCAGAUGACCCUUCGUGGCACUCUUAAGGGCCACAACAUCUGGAUAACGCAGAACGCUACUACCCUGCAGUUCUCGGACAUGCUACUGUCUGUCUUUUGAGACGAGACCAUCAUCACAUGGAAGUUGACCAGGGAUGAGACCAACUAUGGCAUCCCACAGUGUGCUCUGUGGGGUCACUCCCACUUUAUUAGUGACGUGGUUAUCUCCUCAGAUAGCCAGUUUGCCCUCUCAGGCUCCUGGGAUGGACCCCUGCACCUCUGGGAUCUUACAACAGCCACCACUACCAAGACUUGCUGAGUGUAGCCUUCUCCUCUGACAACCAGCAGAUUGUCUCUGGAUCCCAAGAUAAAUACGCAAAUACACUGUCCAAGAAGAAAGCCACUCAGAGAGAGUAUCUUGUGUCUGCUUCUCAUCCAACAGCAGCAACCCUAUCAUCAUUUCCUGCCGCAGGGACAAGCUGGUCAAGGUAUGAAAUCUGGCUAACUGCAAGCUGAAGACCAACCACACUGGCCACACAGGUUAUCUGAACACUGUGACCGUCACUCCAGAUGGAUCCCCUUGUGUUUCUGGAGGCAAGGAUGGCCAGGCCACACUAUGGGAUCUCAAUGAAGAUAAGCACCUUUACAAGCUGGAUGGAGGGGACAUUAUCAACACCCUGCGCUUCAGCCUCAACCACGACUGGUUUUGUGCUGCCAUGGGCCCCAGUAUCAAGAUCUGGGACUUAGAAGGCAAGAUCAUUGUAGAUGAGCUGAAGCAAGAAGUUAUCAGUACCAGCAGCAAAGCAGAGCCACCCCAGCGCACCUCUCUGGCCUGGUCAGCUGAUGGCCGGAUCUGUUUGCUAGCUACACAAUGACCUGGUGCGAAUGUGACAGGUGACCAUCAGCACCCACUAG